GACGAACGCUGGCGGCGUGCUUAACACAUGCAAGUCGAACGGAAAGGCCCUGCUUUUGUGGGGUGCUCGAGUGGCGAACGGGUGAGUAACACGUGAGUAACCUGCCCUUGACUUUGGGAUAACUUCAGGAAACUGGGGCUAAUACCGGAUAGGGGCUCCUGCUGCAUGGUGGGGGUUGGAAAGUUUCGGCGGUUGGGGAUGGACUCGCGGCUUAUCAGCUUGUUGGUGGGGUAGUGGCUUACCAAGGCUUUGACGGGUAGCCGGCCUGAGAGGGUGACCGGCCACAUUGGGACUGAGAUACGGCCCAGACUCCUACGGGAGGCAGCAGUGGGGAAUAUUGCACAAUGGGCGGAAGCCUGAUGCAGCAACGCCGCGUGCGGGAUGACGGCCUUCGGGUUGUAAACCGCUUUCGCCUGUGACGAGGCGUGAGUGACGGUAAUGGGUAAAGAAGCACCGGCUAACUACGUG
rnacentral:rRNA from 1 species